rnacentral:rRNA from 1 species
UUAUGGCUCAGGAUGAACGCUAGCUACAGGCUUAACACAUGCAAGUCGAGGGGCAGCAUAUCGAAGCUUGCUUGAUAGAUGGCGACCGGCGCACGGGUGAGUAACGCGUAUCCAACCUUCCCAUCACUCAGGGAUAGCCCGCCGAAAGGCGAAUUAAUACCUGAUGGUCUCCUUUGCGGACAUCUAACGAGGAGUAAAGAUUUAUUGGUGAUGGAUGGGGAUGCGUCUGAUUAGGUAGUAGGCGGGGUAACGGCCCACCUAGCCGACGAUCAGUAGGGGUUCUGAGAGGAAGGUCCCCCACAUUGGAACUGAGACACGGUCCAAACUCCUACGGGAGGCAGCAGUGAGGAAUAUUGGUCAAUGGGCGAGAGCCUGAACCAGCCAAGUAAGCGUGCAGGAAGACGGCCCUAUGGGUUGUAAACUGCUUUUAUACAGGGAUAAAGUCGGGGACGCGUUCCCCGUUUGCAGGUACUGUAUGAAUAAGGACCGGCUAAUUCCGUGCCAGCCGCGGC